CCAUGGACGACAGUCUGAUGGAGCAAUACCAUGUGAACGAUGAAGGUCUUCUGAGGGGGCUUCUUUUAUUUAGGAAAAAAAGCUUGAUAGGAAAAGAUUAAGCCUUGAUUGUACUAAAUGAAUAAGUGACAGCUAACUAUGUGCCAGCAGCUGCGGUAAAACAUAGGUCACGAGCAUUAUCCGGAUUUAUUGGGCGUAAAGGAAGCGUAGGCGGACAAAUUGAUCUAUUGUUAAAGGCACUUGCUCAACGAGUUGUUUGUGAUAGAUAUCGUUUGUCUAGAAUUAGUUAGGAGAUACUGGAAUUCAAUGUGUAGCGGUGGAAUGCGUAGAUAUAUUGAGGAACACCAGAGGCUAAGGCGAGUAUCUAGGACAUAAUUGACGCUGAGGCUUGAAAGCGUGGGGAGCAAAUGUUUAUUAGAUACCCCAGUAGUCCACGCCGUAAACGAUGGGUAUUAGGUAUUUGGUCUAGGACUGAGUGCUGUAGCUAACGCGUUAAAUACCCCGCCUGGGUAGUAUAUAUGCAAAUAUGAAACUCAAAGAAAUUGACGGGGACCUGAACAAGUGGUGGAGCAAGU
rnacentral:rRNA from 1 species